AUGCGAUCAUACCAGCACUAAAGCACCGGAUCCCAUCAGAACUUCGAAGGUAAGCGUGCUUGGGCGAGAGUAGUACUAGGAUGGGUGACCUCCUGGGAAUU
rnacentral:rRNA from 1 species